rnacentral:rRNA from 1 species
AUUGAACGCUGGCGGCAUGCCUUACACAUGCAAGUCGAACGGCAGCACGGGAGCAAUCCUGGCGGCGAGUGGCGAACGGGUGAGUAAUAUAUCGGAACGUGCCCAGUAAUGGGGGAUAGCCCGGCGAAAGCCGGAUUAAUACCGCAUACGACCUACGGGUGAAAGCAGGGGAUCGCAAGACCUUGCGUUAUUGGAGCGGCCGAUAUAAGAUUAGCUAGUUGGUGGGGUAAAAGCCUACCAAGGCGACGAUCUGUAGCUGGUCUGAGAGGACGACCAGCCACACUGGGACUGAGACACGGCCCAGACUCCUACGGGAGGCAGCAGUGGGGAAUUUUGGACAAUGGGCGCAAGCCUGAUCCAGCCAUGCCGCGUGUGGGAAGAAGGCCUUCGGGUUGUAAACCACUUUUGUCAGGGAAGAAACGCUCUGGGCUAAUACCCUGGGGUAAUGACGGUACCUGAAGAAUAAGCACCGGCUAACUACGUGCCAGCCGCCGCCGUAAAAC